UNUGACUUGAGUGCAGAAGGGGAGAGUGGAAUUCCAUGUGUAGCGGUGAAAUGCGUAGAUAUAUGGAGGAACACCAGUGGCGAAAGCGGCUCUCUGGUCUGUCACUGACGCUGAGGCUCGAAAGCGUGGGUAGCGAACAGGAUUAGAUACCCUGGUAGUCCACGCCGUAAACGAUGAGUGCUAGGUGUUAGGCCCUUUCCGGGGCUUAGUGCCGGAGCUAACGCAAUAAGCACUCCGCCUGGGGAGUACGACCGCAAGGUUGAAACUCAAAGGAAUUGACGGGGGCCCGCACAAGCGGUGGAGCAUGUGGUUUAAUUCGAAGCAACGCGAAGAACCUUACCAGGUCUUGACAUCCCGAUGCUAUUCUUAGAGAUAGGAAGUUACUUCGGUACAUCGGAGACAGGUGGUGCAUGGUUGUCGUCAGCUCGUGUCGUGAGAUGUUGGGUUAAGUCCCGCAACGAGCGCAACCCUUAUUGUUAGUUGCCAUCAUUAAGUUGGGCACUCUAGCGAGACUGCCGGUAAUAAACCGGAGGAAGGUGGGGAUGACGUCAAAUCAUCAUGCCCCUUAUGACCUGGGCUACACACGUGCUACAAUGGUCGGUACAACGAGUUGCGAGCCGGUGACGGCAAGCUAAUCUCUGAAAGCCGAUCUCAGUUCGGAUUGGAGGCUGCAACUCGCCUCCAUGAAGUCGGAAUCGCUAGUAAUCGCGGAUCAGCACGCCGCGGUGAAUACGUUCCCGGGCCUUGUACACACCGC
rnacentral:rRNA from 1 species